rnacentral:rRNA from 1 species
UUUAUGGAGAGUUUGAUCCUGGCUCAGGAUGAACGCUGGCGGCGUGCCUAAUACAUGCAAGUCGAGCGAACAGAUAAGGAGCUUGCUCCUUUGACGUUAGCGGCGGACGGGUGAGUAACACGUGGGUAACCUACCUAUAAGACUGGAAUAACUCCGGGAAA